rnacentral:rRNA from 1 species
GGCAGCAGUGAGGAAUAUUGGUCAAUGGUCGGAAGACUGAACCAGCCAUGCCGCGUGCAGGAAGACGGUCCUAUGGAUUGUAAACUGCUUUUGUACGGGAAGAAACACUCGUUCGUGAAGCUUGACGGUACCGUAAGAAUAAGGAUCGGCUAACUCCNNGCCAGCAGCCGCGGUAAUACGGAGGAUCCAAGCGUUAUCCGGAAUCAUUGGGUUUAAAGGGUCCGUAGGCGGUCUGAUAAGUCAGUGGUGAAAUCCGGCAGCUCAACUAUCGAACUGCCAUUGAUACUGUAUGACUUGAAUUACUGUGAAGUAACUAGAAUAUGUAGUGUAGCGGUGAAAUGCUUAGAUAUUACAUGGAAUACCAAUUGCGAAGGCAGGUUACUAAUGGUAUAUUGACGCUGAUGGACGAAAGCGUGGGGAGCGAACAGGAUUAGAUACCCUGGUAGUCCACGCUGUAAACGAUGGAUACUAGCUGUNGGGAGUAAUUUNAGUGGCUANGCGAAAGUGAUAAGUANNCCCCCUGGGGAGUACNNNCNCAAGUUUGAAACU